UGAGGUGUCUUCUGAAAUGUUUUCUUCCUGACUGGAAGAUCGACGUCAGAAAAGAUCUCCGCCUGAUGUUAAAGAACGCCUGUAAACGGGUUCUCUGACAGCCGUGUUGUCAGCUGUGCUCCUGAAAGAGGAACGUAGGACUACAGGUGAGCAGGGGCGUGUCUAGGGGGUGGCCAGGGGUGGCACGUGCUACCCCUGGAAUCUGAUUGGCCACCCCAGGUGCCACCCCAUAUGCUAAACUAUGAUUGGCUAUCUGCCCACGGAGGCGGGAACGUUUGAAUUGUGUGACUACCGAACUUUCAUUUUCAACCGACAAGAAGACAUCAAGAAGACAUCAAGAGAUUGCGGCUACUCGCUCCUGAAAGAUGUGAGUAGCUAGAAUUAUUGAUAACAGUUACACAUAAUGAGUCAGUGGUUUAAAAAGUUUGAACUGUAAUAAGCUAAAACGUUUUUUGAUUUUCACGAUAUGUGGUGCAGGUCUGUCAUCAUCGCGACUGUCGACAGUGUCGACUGACUCAGCUUGCUGCCUAGCAAACCUGUCCAGGGAUUCUUAGCUCCUGAAAGAUACUCAGACAAGGAUACUGGUGAUGAAGGCCCUUCAUCUUCACUUGCACAUCAGGGUGUGUCAAGUCAGCCACUCUCUGACAAUGACACUGACACUGAGAACCAUCCAGCAGUACCUGCAGGCCAUGCAGUGACACGUGGGGAUGGUGAUGCAGCAACCCUUGUGGCCCCACCUGGACCUCAUGGUAUGCCUUAAUAUUUCAUAUGAAAUAUAUUGUACUUAAUUCAAUUCUUUCAUCUGUACUAAUGCCCCAAUGAGCACUUCUGUCCCAACAAGUACAUGACACUGAUCCAAUUCUCAUGCUUUUGUCACUUUCAGAUAUUUCACAGUCAAGAGCAGCAGGUCCCUCUCAGCCUCGUUUAAAGGUUUUUCCAAGAACCCUCCAAGGUGAGAA